rnacentral:lncRNA from 1 species
AACUAAAGGUCGUCAUCUGGGCAAAUGAACCACUCUGACUUGGAGAUUAGGGGCUCAGACAGCCGUGGAUGAGAGUCCAGCUCUACUACUUAUUAGCCUUGAUUAGUUGACUGUCACUGCCGAGACCAGCUUCUGAGUAAUUUCAGCCCAGGCAUCAGACUAGUGAGGGAAGGAGCUUCCAGGUGAUACCACCUCCCAGCCAUACUGUGAGAGGGAUGGGAAAGACUGGUGCUUGGGGUGGCCAUCUGACCCCUGAUGGACAGGAGACCAGGACAAGCCCACUGGAUGAGCCGGAGGGGUCCAGGAGGAGGGAGUUGAGAGCUCCUGCUAGGGUUGACACAUUCUGGUAAGGAGUUCAUCUGCUGUCCACCAGGGGAGACAAUAAAAAGGUCAACACAGCUCCCACCUCGAAGCAGCUGCCAGUUUAUUACAUGAAGUGUCAGGCUGUGGACUGCAGGCAUGCCAUUUUGUCUUCAAGAACAGGUGGGAUCAGAGGUCCUUGACUGAUCAGAAUACACUGCUUUCAACCAAAACAUUAUUAGCAUUGAUUUCUUAAAAAAUAAUAGCAAAGUAGAAAACCUUUAGCUGGUCUGUUUCUUCGUGUCCUGAAACUUCCUUAUUAGUGUAAUUAAAAGUACUAAGUUAAGAAUUAG